GACGAACCGAGCGAACGUUGUUCGGAAUCACUGGGCUUAAAGGGCGCGUAGGCGGGUGCUCAAGUCCGGGGUGAAAUCCCACAGCUCAACUGUGGAAUUGCCUCGGAUACUGGGUGUCUCGAGGGUGGUAGGGGUAUGCGGAACUAUCGGUGGAGCGGUGAAAUGCGUUGAUAUCGAUAGGAACUCCGGUGGCGAAGGCGGCAUCCUGGACCGGUAUUGACACUGAGGCGCGAAAGCCAGGGGAGCAAACGGG
rnacentral:rRNA from 1 species